AUCGCUUCUUGGCCUUUUGGUUAAGAUCAAGUGUAGUAUCUGUUCUUAUAAGUUUAACAUCUGAUACGUCCCCCUGAUCUGGGGACCAUAUAUUAAAUGAAUUUUUGAGAACGGGUGCAGGAUUUCACAGCUUGCUUCCGUCGCCCUAUGCAUUGACCCCCCGAUAUGGCAGUAUCUUCAGGUACAAAAAAAA